AGAGCUGAUUUUCAUCAUUGGCAUGAUUAAUAUUUAAACAUUAACAUCACUUUACCAUUUAUGAGAUAAUUAUGAUUUGGUUACAACAUUUACCUUUAAUAUUAAUAAUUUCUGUUUCUUGUAUUUUAAUUGUUUCAAUUAAUUCUGAAGAUUUAGUCAAUUCAACUGAGCCUUCAAUCGGAACUGUGUUAACAACAUCAGUCAUACAAAUUAAUUCAACUGAACUAGUUGAUGGCUCUUUUGACGAGGACGAGGAAUCAACUGAUCAAUUAGAUAAUUAUUUCAAUGAUACGAUAAUUCACUCAACAUCAACAUCAACAUCAACAACCCCAUCACCUGAUCAAGUUAUUUUAAUUAAACCGAGUUUUGAUCAUUUCAACGGGAUCUGGAAGAACUGGUCAAAGUGUCUUUACGACGCUUGUUUCGGUUGUCAUGCUAAGGCUUGUCCAUUCUGUACACCGACAAUUGAAAGAUGUACCAUUAAUUUGAGAGAGACAAUUAAUCCCUAUUUAUUAACCACAUUAACACAAAACAAAACAGAGACCAUUGAAUCUUCAUCUGGAAAUGUUACAAUUCAUGAUGAAUCAACGUGACAAUCAAAAUGUUCCAGAAUCUUUGCUGAUAUUUACACAUUCGUUUAUAAUUAUCACCUUGCGAAUGUCUAAUUGUUUCCAUAGAAAAUCCACUCGAAGGAACCAUCGAGUAUAUUGAUUACCUUUGGUCUAAAUUGUUGAAAUGUGGUUACGAUACUUGUUUUAAUUGUUUCAAACAAGAAUGUACUUGGUGCACAUCCAAGGCUGAGAAUUGCAUGAGAUUAGCCGGUGAAACGAUUUGGCCCAUGUUGUUAUCGACACUGAAAAGGGAACAGUUACCAGUUGAUUUCGAUCCACCAACACCAAUCAAAGCUAAAGUACAAAUUGUAAAGGUCAAUGAAACGAGUUCAACAACAAUCAAAUCAACUAAUAGCUCAACAGAAAUGGUCGAGAUUACAACCACAAUUAAACCUAACGAUCUCAUUUAACAAAGUUGAAUUUGUUUGAUGAUUUUAAACGCUGAUUGUACAAACAAACCAAAUUUACAUUUUAAUCUUUAAUAAACAAUUAUGGUUAAUAACAAGCUAA